UUCGGUCUCAGAAGCUAAGCAGGGUCGAGCCCGGUUAGCGCUUGGAUGGGAGACCACAUGAGGAACCCUGGGUGCUGUAGGCU
rnacentral:rRNA from 1 species